AAGUGUUACAGCUCUUUUAGAAUUUGUUUGGCAGGUUUUCUGGUUUUUUUCCCAGAAACCACCCCC
rnacentral:snRNA from 1 species